UACGGAAGGCAGCAGUGGGGAAUAUUGCACAAUGGGCGCAAGCCUGAUGCAGCCAUGCCGCGUGUAUGAAGAAGGCCUUCGGGUUGUAAAGUACUUUUCAGUCGUGAGGAAGGUGUUAAGGUUAAUAACCUUAGCAAUUGACGUUAGCGACAGAAGAAGCACCGGCUAACUCCGUGCCAGCAGCCGCGGUAAUACGGAGGGUGCGAGCGUUAAUCGGAAUUACUGGGCGUAAAGGGCACGCAGGCGGUUAAUUAAGUUGGAUGUGAAAUCCCCGGGCUUAACCUGGGAAUGGCAUUCAAGACUGGUUAGCUAGAGUCUUGUAGAGGGGGUAGAAUUCCAUGUGUAGCGGUGAAAUGCGUAGAGAUGUGGAGGAAUACCGGUGGCGAAGGCGGCCCCUGGACAAAGGACUGACGCUCAUGUGCGAAAAGCGUGGGGAGCAAACAGGGAUUAGAUACC
rnacentral:rRNA from 1 species